rnacentral:ncRNA from 1 species
UUCAUCAAGAGUAACGGAGGGAAUGGCCCCAUGAUGUUACGGCAACCAUCACGGAAGUGAACGGUGCUAAGUCCAGCAGGGAUUACCUGAAAGAUGAA